rnacentral:lncRNA from 1 species
AAGUGAGCUUUUCUCAUCACGUGGCGUCCAUCGUCCGUCGUUGUCGUCGUUGUAAACUUUUCACAGUUUGAACUUCUAUCAAAUUACUGUAUGGAAUGAAACCAAACAUCGCAUGUGCUGUUACUUUGUAGCUGAUUCAUCAUCCAAGAUGGUCUCCAGCAAGGGACUUCAUUUAACAUAGGACCCUUAUGACAAUACAUACAAAUGUCUUGCUUUAGGGAACUUCUGAAUGGGAUACCAAACAUGUUCCUUAUGUGAUGCUGACCAAGUGUUGUUAUUUUGUAGCCGAUCCAUCAUCCAAGAUAACCAUCAUCAGUGAGGUACUAAGUUUAUCAUAGGACCCUUUGGGCUUUACAAACAAAUGUAUUUUUUAGAGAACAACUAAAUGGAAUGAUUUAAAACAUGACAAGAAUGUUACUAAUGAGGUGCCAAUCAAUCAUCCAAUGUGUCUACCAGCGGGGAAUUUCGGUUAAUAUAGGACCC